rnacentral:misc_RNA from 1 species
UUUUCCAUUCACAACAAAGAUUCUGCUGUGAAAGGUCUAUUAUAAGAGUCUCUCUCUCUCUCUCUGACGUUUUUGUCUAUUUUAAAACUUCAAAAUAAACAUUGCGUUUUGUUCAGUUCGUCUAUUGUUAUCCCAGCAACAGAGAAGCUGAAAAACGUUUCUCCAAGAAUUUUCCGUAAACGAAAUUAUUUGGUCUGCGCGAUCGAUUGAAUCAUGAGUUGCGUUGAAGAUAAAGAAGUUUUAGUAAAAGAAUCUCUUUUGGUAUUUCUCAAAGACAACAUUCCACAGGCUAACCUAAGUCACAUUGAUGAAAUUGUCUUGAGCUAUGUUGUCAGCAUCUUAGAAGAAAUUGGGUCUGACUUGUGCCAAGAAGAUGUUUUCGAUGUGGAGUCUUUCAGUGAGAUGCUCACAGCAUACUUUCCCGAUUUUGCCUCCAUCCCCCAUUCCGUCAUUUGCCAUUGGAUCUUUGAACUGUCAUCAAAAUUGUCCCAAUCGAAACAAGAUUCAAAAGGCUUGAAAGGAAUGACUGAUCUUGGUUUAAUGUUCCCGGCCCCAGCAGUGGUUAAACAAGACCGCCUCUCUCCUAGAGUGUCAGAGUCUAGUGAUGCAAGCACAAGUGAUUCUUCUCAAUCUGGGUUUCAGGAUUUCGAAAAAACAGAUGAUGUUCGCCUGCUGCUAGAGAUGUUUCCAAGCAUUUCACUGGUGGAGGCCACACAUUGCUUGUCGCUCUCAAAUAGUUCUGUUGAAGAAGCUGUCCAGCUUGUCCUUCAUAGACAAGAAAUUGGAGAAUCCCUUUCGCACCCUGAGAUCUCUUCUCUGCACAAGACCAGACCAGUAAAUGACGUUACGCUCAAAAAGAAAAUAAUAGAAAAGUAUUCCUACAUUGAUCAAGAUGACGAUCAACGUGAGCACAGACCGCCUCCAGUCAAAACUCAACCCAAAAAGAUGGUGCGAUAUUUGGACAACAAGGUAGUGACGAUCAAAGGAGAGCGCUACACAGAGAUCAAGGAGGAAACGGAAGCCAGCAAGGAAGAGGCCAAAAAGACUUUCGUCACCCUCAAACCUGCUCGCCAAUAUCGCUUCCAUUGACAACGACUGAAUGAGGAGAACUGUAGACGGCCGGUUCUAGCUAAGCUAAUUAUUGUUGGACAUGUUAGGUGACUCGACAGCAUGCACCCAUGUUUUGAUUGUCUAAAAUACGUGACCCUGAUCUAACUAAACUGUAUCGUAUUUUGCCGUACAUUCCGGAAUACACAGCAUCUCAACAGA